CACGUAGGCACCAAGCGUUGUCCGGAUUUAUUGGGCGUAAAGAGCUCGUAGGCGGUUCAGUAAGUCCGGUGUGAAAACUCUGGGCUCAACCCGGAGACGCCACCCGAUACUGCUGUGACUUGAGUUCGGUAGGGGAGUGGGGAAUUUCUAGUGUAGCGGUGAAAUGCGCAGAUAUUAGAAGGAACACCGGUGGCGAAGGCGCCACUCUGGGCCGAAACUGACGCUGAGGAGCGAAAGCGUGGGUAGCAAACAGG
rnacentral:rRNA from 1 species